rnacentral:tRNA from 1 species
GCGCCCGUAGCUCAAUUGGAUAGAGCAUCUGUCUACGGAACAGAAGGUUACAUGUUCGAGUCAUGUCGGGCGCG